GUCCAUGUAAAGAGCGAUUGUAUCGCCCGGUCGAUACCUGACGUGAUUCCAAUAAAUCUCUAUCUCCCGUAUCAUUCGAAUGGACAUUAUGGGUGAGAUGAUCAGGCCGAUAUGCGCGCGUUGGAAAUCUGAAAUGGGGGAAACAGGUGUUUUCGGUGCAAGGACACUCGGCGAAAUACAUGAUGAUACAUGGUCUGGUGCGAUAAUCUGAUAACCAUAAUCCCUCGGAAUAAAUCGGAGCAUUACAUUUUGUAAGAGGAGACGAGACGUGUAUAUAACGAUUACAUUGCGUGAAUAAUGCAAUUUGUCAUGCUAUUGCUACGGUGCGAUUUUAAAACUCACCGUCUCCCGUUUCUGGACCACAAAAUCUCGCGGUCGACAUGGAGUCAACGAUCGUUAACCAUGAGAAAAAAGCGGAAAGAAUCGCAAGCAGCUUCAUCUUCAUGCACGAGUUAACGCGGAGAAUCUUAGUAAACAAUAUUUAUCCACCUCUCCGACACAUUCUCUUCUUGAUGCUUCCACGACCGUUUCAAUUCUUUCCACGAAGCCAACCAGCUAUAAACUGUUGCAAAAAACGUCACCUUCACCUUCGAUCCUGGUUUCUUGUACAAUACCGAGUUUAAAAAUUUAUUACCGUUAAGAAACUUAUUUAAGACAAUUGUCUUGAAUAGGAAAUCGAAUUGUAUUCAAUAAUACAUUAUUUACGAUAACAAAAAUAAUAGGAAAAAUAAACGGCUAGUUUUUGUUCACGUUAAGUAUAUAGUUCCGCAUUCCCAGCUUAUUUUUAUCAAUACUGUACCGAUAAAUGUAACUAUUAUUCCUAUUCUGAACUAUAUUUAAUACUUUUAUAGUUCUGAAUUGAUAUGCCAAUAGAUAUGCCUGCCUAUAA